GACGAACGCUGGCGGCGUGCCUAAUACAUGCAAGUCGAGCGCAGGAAACUGACGGAACUCUUCGGAGGGAAGGCAGCGGAAUGAGCGGCGGACGGGUGGGCAACACGUAAGGAACCUGCCUCAAGGAUUGGGAUAACUCCGAGAAAUCGGAGCUAAUACCGGAUAGUUCAUCGGACCGCAUGGUCCGUUGAUGAAAGGCGCUCCGGCGUCACCUUGAGAUGGCCUUGCGGUGCAUUAGCUAGUUGGUGGGGUAACGGCCCACCAAGGCGACGAUGCAUAGCCGACCUGAGAGGGUGAUCGGCCACACUGGGACUGAGACACGGCCCAGACUCCUACGGGAGGCAGCAGUAGGGAAUCUUCCACAAUGGACGAAAGUCUGAUGGAGCAACGCCGCGUGAGUGAUGAAGGUUUUCGGAUCGUAAAACUCUGUUGUAAGGGAAGAACACGUACGAGAGGAAAUGCUCGUACCUUGACGGUACCUUACGAGAAAGCCACGGCUAACUACGUGCCAGCCGCCGCCGUAA
rnacentral:rRNA from 1 species